rnacentral:rRNA from 1 species
GACGAACGCUGGCGGCGUGCUUAACACAUGCAAGUCGAACGAAGUGGCGAACGGGUGAGUAACGCGUAAUCAACCUGCCCUUCAGAGGGGGACAACAGUUGGAAACGACUGCUAAUACCGCAUAAUGAAGGAGGGGAUUGCGUGUGAUUAGCUAGUUGGAGGGGUAACGGCCCACCAAGGCGAGGAGCAGUAGCCGGUCUGGGAGGAUGAACCGCCAAAUGGGGACUGAGGCACGGCCCAUACUCCUACGGGAGGCAGGAGUGGGGAAUCUGCCGCAAUGGACGAAAGUCUGACGGAGCAACGCCGCGUGAGUGAUGACGGCCUUCGGGUUGUAAAGCUCUUUUAAUCGGGACGCGGUACCGGAAUAGAAAGCCACGGCUAACUACGUGCCAGCAGCCGCGGUAAUUC